rnacentral:rRNA from 1 species
AUUGAACGCUGGCGGCAGGCCUAACACGUGCAAGUCGAGCGGAUGAAGGGAGCUUGCUCCUGGAUUCAGCGGCGGACGGGUGAGUAAUGCCUAGGAAUCUGCCUGGUAGUGGGGGAUAACGUCCGGAAACGGGCGCUAAAACCGCAUACGUCCUGAGGGAGAAAGUGGGGGAUCUUCGGACCUCACGCUAUCAGAUGAGCCUAGGUCGGAUUAGCUAGUUGGUGGGGUAAAGGCCUACCAAGGCGACGAUCCGUAACUGGUCUGAGAGGAUGAUCAGUCACACUGGAACUGAGACACGGUCCAGACUCCUACGGGAGGCAGCAGUGGGGAAUAUUGGACAAUGGGCGAAAGCCUGAUCCAGCCAUGCCGCGUGUGUGAAGAAGGUCUUCGGAUUGUAGAGCACUUUAAGUCGGGAGGAAGGGCAGUAAGUUAAUACCUUGCUGUUUUGACGUUACCAACAGAAUAAGCACCGGCUAACUUCGUG